UACGGGGGGGGCAAGCGUUGUUCGGAAUUACUGGGCGUAAAGGGCUCGUAGGCGGCCAACUAAGUCGGACGUGAAAUCCCUCGGCUUAACCGGGGAACUGCGUCCGAUACUGGAUGGCUUGAGUUUGGGAGAGGGAUGCGGAAUUCCUGGUGUAGCGGUGAAAUGCGCAGAUAUCAGGAAGAACACCCGUGGCGAAGGCGGCUCUCUGGGACGGUACUGACGCUGAGACGCGAAAGCGUGGGGAGCGAACAGG
rnacentral:rRNA from 1 species